UUUAUGUUCUUUAUCGCUGUUAUAUAAACUGAUUGUUUGAAAAGAAAAUGAUGUGCUGUGGUGUGCCCUCAUUGUGAAUCAAGUUAAAGAGCCCCAGACCUGCAGGAAACACUCAUUCACACAUGCACACAGAGAAAUCUGAAAUAAAAAGCUGCAGAUGCGUCUCAUGGGAGCAGCUGCAGGUUAAACAGUGGCUCCUCUCAGUCAGUGAUCUCCAUGGUGUCAGCAGAUCUCAUUACACAGACAGGACAGAGACUUUCCAUACCCACAAUUAAUGCAGCAAUCCCAGAAUGCACUGCACUUUUUAUUCCUUGUCAGAUCAAAUGCACACUUACUACACAUUCUUUUUUUAAUUAUUAGAUUUAUACAGUUUCUGAAGAAAAUGUUUUUCUUGUGAAAUAUGUGUUGAUUAUUGAUGUCUGUUAACCCAAGUCCAAGAAAUUCACAUCAAAGUCUAUACAUUAAUACAGUUCCAUUCAGUUAAAGUGUAACACUUACUGUAAUGUCUAGAGUAAUAAUCAACCACCACUAACUAGCAAAAUAAAAAGCUGUUAUAAAAACAUGAGCCUCUCUUGGAAAAUCUCAGCAAGGCCUGAAAAUGAGCAUUUUAGAAGCUCGUUGUACAGUAUUACAGGAAACACUCUGCACUUCACAGAAGGAGAGAUCUUCUAGAAAGCUCUCCAGAUAAUUCUCCAUCCCCUCACAAGUGCUUACCGGCUCUAUUUCUGCCUGGUAAGUGCCCUAGAGAGAGUGUGCAAGGGUCUCUGCGGUAUAUUGCUCUGUCAAUAUGCCCCAUUUGCAGGUACACACGACUGGGAUGAAGUCGCUGACAAACACAGGGAAGAGAUGACGACUUUGUCAUCAUUUAUUGUCGCCUUUUUCUUUCUAGAGUUCUCUUGUUCUUUACGGAGCGAGAGCUGUGCGGGUAAGUGUUGUGAGAUGGGACUCGUUUAGAGACAGGUUGUCAAUAUAUCAGUGUGUGAGUGUGUGUUUGCGUCUUCAGCAGGUAACGUCAGUUUGUCGGUGUCUGUCAGUAAGAACUCGACUCUGCUGGUUGACUGGAACAGCGGGAGCAAACAGACGACCCAAUGUGCUCUGCUCGUCUCAACCGAAGGAAGACAGGAGAUCCAGAUACACCUUUUACCAUGGUCUGGAUCGCUCCAGCUGGAAAAUAUGACAGACAAUGGCAAACACUACUUCUUAUGCACUUGUUUUGAACAAUCGCAGGGACUCUUGUGCUCCAAGAACAUAAGUUUUGUUAUGGGCCCUGUCUCUGCACCGCCUCUGGUCCUGAUGUCAGAUACUCAGAGCUCUGCCAGUUACAUCAGCAUGAGAUGGUUGAGCAGCGGUGUGUUUGGAACGACUUUAGCAACAUUUGUCAUUAUUCUAGUCUACAUUAUAUACAGAAGAUGGACGGGGAACGGUGUCU